UACGUAGGGAGCAAGCGUUGUCCGGAAUCAUUGGGCGUAAAGCGCGCGUAGGUGGCCUCAUAAGUCCGCUGUGAAAGUCAAAGGCUCAACCUUUGAAAGCCGGUGGAUACUGUGAGGCUAGAGUACGGAAGAGGCGAGUGGAAUUCCUGGUGUAGCGGUGGAAUGCGCAGAUAUCAGGAGGAACACCAAUAGCGAAGGCAGCUCGCUGGGACGUUACUGACGCUGAGACGCGAAAGCGUGGGGAGCGAACAGG
rnacentral:rRNA from 1 species